rnacentral:rRNA from 1 species
GACGAACGCUGGCGGCGUGCUUAACACAUGCAAGUCGAACGAAAAGAGGGAAAGAGCUUGCUCUUUCCGGAAUUGAGUGACAAACGGGUGAGUAACACGUAAACAACCUGCCUUCAGGAUGGGGACAACAGACGGAAACGACUGCUAAUACCGAAUAAGUUCCAAGAGCCGCAUGGCCCAUGGAAGAAAAGGUGGCCUCUACCUGUAAGCUAUCGCCUGAAGAGGGGUUUGCGUCUGAUUAGCUGGUUGGAGGGGUAACGGCCCACCAAGGCGACGAUCAGUAGCCGGUCUGAGAGGAUGAACGGCCGCACUGGAACUGAGACACGGUCCAGACUCCUACGGGAGGCAGCAGUGGGGAAUCUUCCGCAAUGGGCGAGAGCCUGACGGAGCAACGCCGCGUGAGUGAUGACGGCCUUCGGGUUGUAAAACUCUGUGAUCCGGGACGAAAAGGCAGAGUGCGAAGAACAAACUGCAUUGACGGUACCGGAAAAGCAAGCCACGGCUAACUACGUG